rnacentral:misc_RNA from 1 species
UUUCCGUAGGUGAACCUGCGGAAGGAUCAUUAUUGUAUAACCGAGGUGCGAGGGCUGUCGCUGACCCGAAAGGUCGUGCACGCCCGAGUGCCCUCACACACAUCCAUCUCACCCCUAUGUGCACCACCGCGCGGGUCACCCUUUGGCUUGUUCGGAGGGGGGCUUACGUUUUCACACAAACUUUGUAUGCAUUGUAGAAUGUAUUUUUUGUUUUUGCGAUCACGCAAUCAAUACAACUUUCAACAACGGAUCUCUUGGCUCUC